rnacentral:lncRNA from 1 species
UAAUGGACCUCAAACCCUAGUUAUGUAUUUAUAUAAACCCAAACAGGCUCGGCCCGGUCCGGUCCAAUAAUUAAUUAAUCCAAUUAAUUAAACCCGGUCCGUGAAUUAAUUAAUCCAAUUAAUUAAUUCGAAAAUAUAAAUAACAAAUCCAAUUAAUUAAUUUAUUCAACGAUUGUUAAAUUAACCAAUUGGCAAUUUGCAAUCUUCCAAUUCUCUUUUGUGUGUGACCCAUUAGGUUCCCGACCACGAUGCCUAACGACGUGAAAUAUUAUUUUGAUCUAAUCAAAAUUGAUAAAUUAAAACACCCUUUUAAUUUAUCGUCAAUUCACAUUCGCCGUCCCUGAUUGACAUCUAGCAAUGUGUCAGGGUAAUACAUGUGACGGGAAAUGUCACGUAGUAUGACAAAAC